AUUGAACGCUGGCGGCAGGCUUAACACAUGCAAGUCGAGCGGGGGAAGGUAGCUUGCUACCGGACCUAGCGGCGGACGGGUGAGUAAUGCUUAGGAAUCUGCCUAUUAGUGGGGGACAACAUCUCGAAAGGGAUGCUAAUACCGCAUACGUCCUACGGGAGAAAGCAGGGGAUCUUCGGACCUUGCGCUAAUAGAUGAGCCUAAGUCGGAUUAGCUAGUUGGUGGGGUAAAGGCCUACCAAGGCGACGAUCUGUAGCGGGUCUGAGAGGAUGAUCCGCCACACUGGGACUGAGACACGGCCCAGACUCCUACGGGAGGCAGCAGUGGGGAAUAUUGGACAAUGGGGGGAACCCUGAUCCAGCCAUGCCGCGUGUGUGAAGAAGGCCUUAUGGUUGUAAAGCACUUUAAGCGAGGAGGAGGCUACUUUAGUUAAUACCUAGAGAUAGUGGACGUUACUCGCAGAAUAAGCACCGGCUAACUCUGUGCCAGCAGCCGCGGUAAUACAGAGGGUGCGAGCGUUAAUCGGAUUUACUGGGCGUAAAGCGUGCGUAGGCGGCUUAUUAAGUCGGAUGUGAAAUCCCCGAGCUUAACUUGGGAAUUGCAUUCGAUACUGGUGAGCUAGAGUAUGGGAGAGGAUGGUAGAAUUCCAGGUGUAGCGGUGAAAUGCGUAGAGAUCUGGAGGAAUACCGAUGGCGAAGGCAGCCAUCUGGCCUAAUACUGACGCUGAGGUACGAAAGCAUGGGGAGCAAACAGGAUUAGAUACCCUGGUAGUCCAUGCCGUAAACGAUGUCUACUAGCCGUUGGGGCCUUUGAGGCUUUAGUGGCGCAGCUAACGCGAUAAGUAGACCGCCUGGGGAGUACGGUCGCAAGACUAAAACUCAAAUGAAUUGACGGGGGCCCGCACAAGCGGUGGAGCAUGUGGUUUAAUUCGAUGCAACGCGAAGAACCUUACCUGGCCUUGACAUACUAGAAACUUUCCAGAGAUGGAUUGGUGCCUUCGGGAAUCUAGAUACAGGUGCUGCAUGGCUGUCGUCAGCUCGUGUCGUGAGAUGUUGGGUUAAGUCCCGCAACGAGCGCAACCCUUUUCCUUACUUGCCAGCAUUUCGGAUGGGAACUUUAAGGAUACUGCCAGUGACAAACUGGAGGAAGGCGGGGACGACGUCAAGUCAUCAUGGCCCUUACGGCCAGGGCUACACACGUGCUACAAUGGUCGGUACAAAGGGUUGCUACACAGCGAUGUGAUGCUAAUCUCAAAAAGCCGAUCGUAGUCCGGAUUGGAGUCUGCAACUCGACUCCMUGAAGUCGGAAUCGCUAGUAAUCGCGGAUCAGAAUGCCGCGGUGAAUACGUUCCCGGGCCUUGUACACACCGCCCGUCACACCAUGGGAGUUU
rnacentral:rRNA from 1 species